AGUGAACGCUGGCGGUAGGCCUAACACAUGCAAGUCGAACGGCAGCACAGUAAGAGCUUGCUCUUACGGGUGGCGAGUGGCGGACGGGUGAGGAAUACAUCGGAAUCUACUUUUUCGUGGGGGAUAACGUAGGGAAACUUACGCUAAUACCGCAUACGACCUACGGGUGAAAGCAGGGGAUCUUCGGACCUUGCUCGAUUGACUGAGCCGAUGUCGGAUUAGCUAGUUGGCGGGGUAAAGGCCCACCAAGGCGACGAUCCGUAGCUGGUCUGAGAGGAUGAGCAGCCACACUGGAACUGAGACACGGUCCAGACUCCUACGGGAGGCAGCAGUGGGGAAUAUUGGACAAUGGGCGCAAGCCUGAUCCAGCCAUACCGCGUGGGUGAAGAAGGCCUUCGGGUUGUAAAGCCCUUUUGUUGGGAAAGAAAAGCAGCAGGUUAAUACCCCGCUGUUCUGACGGUACCCAAAGAAUAAGCACCGGCUAACUUCGUG
rnacentral:rRNA from 1 species